rnacentral:lncRNA from 1 species
AGGAAUCCGAAGUCAACAAAAUCAUGAAACAAAACCGGAACCAAGCCCAACAUAUCUCCUCUCAAGUUUCAAAACCCUUCUACAUUACAAGCAAACAUUGCAGCAGCAACUAUAACGAGUGAUCCAACCACAUUAUUAUGCAUAAACGUAACUGCGCUAGAUAUAUCCACAGGAGCAACAGGACUCUCUACAUUAGCAGAAGGAACCGCCUUAGUAGGUUUUUCUGCAGGUGCCUGUACUGGUGCUGGAGCUGGAGCAUUGGAUCCAAAAAUGUCCUUAGGAAGUAGCACCUUCUCGAUCUUAUAAAUGGCUAGCUGGUUGUCCGUGUAAACCGUGCCAGAUAAACUUGUAUUGGUAAGUCCUGUGGUUAUGUUCACCGAGUUUGGAUAACUUGUGACAUUAAGUGGUAACCUACUACCUGUUCCAGCCCAUGUUCCAAGAGGAUUACUUACGGUCUGGAACUGGGAAGUCGAUAGAAAUGUUGGAACUACGUGGAACUUCACCAACUCAGACUUGUCUCCAUCACUUAGAGUAUUGAGAGUUCCUGAUUUGAGUUCCGAAAAUGCACUAUCUGUGGGUGCAAAGAUGGUUAUACCAGUGUUGGAAUCAUUGAGCGCGGAGAACAAGUGGUUUUCCUCUUGGGUGGAUCUCAAAAGGCGGAUAAAGAUCGUGAAAUGGCCAGCCUUCUCAAGGAUUUUGGUGACGUUGGUGAUGCCGUGUGGUGCAGCAGCCUGUGUUGGGGUUGCGACUGGAGGUUGUGCUACGACUACUGCUGGUGCCUGUGCUGGGGCUGCUGUUGGUGACUGGGCAAAGGUAUUGAUAUAACACAGGGAAAGAAGAAGCAUUGAAAAUGAGAAGAUUGAGUACUGUUGCUUCAUCUUUAAGUUUCCACGGUAUAAUGCUAGAGAUAAUUAAAAAAUGCUAACGCAAAUUGAGUUCGAUCUUAGUUGGAAGUGUUUGAUGUCUGAAGAAGAGACAGAGUGAGCUUUUAUAGAAGUGGACAGAGGAUCAAACUAGGUGCAAUGUACGAGUUUAGUUAUACAACUUGGUUGCUAGUACCUAUUUUGCUCUGAAAGGUGGAGGGUCAUCAAUGGAUGGGUUUUUUAACAAUGCUGCAGCAACUACUUGGCUUGGAAAAGAAGGAAAAAAUUUCUAAAAAGCAGAUUUCCAGUGGUGUGACAGUAAAUAAAGAUGUCCAUGAUUGUCGAAAUUAUAUUUUAGAAUCAUCACUGUCAGAACAUUUGAGGAUACUUCUUAACUUAAAAAAAAAAAUCUUCUGUCAUGGCAGAAGAUUUGGACAAGCAAUCUUAACGGAACCAUCUUUCUAUAUCUAAAACAGCUAUGGCUCCUUCAGCAUAAUAGAAUGAAUCUUUACUUCCCUGAAUCCAUGACAGACAUCGAUAGACUAACUUUCCAAAUUUACACAGAAAUCAAAUCUCACCUAGACCAUCACUUAAAACAACACAAUCAAGCAACACCUACCUUAUGUACUUGAUUUGAUGUUCGUGGCAAGCCUUCUUUCAAGGUUUAUGCAAUCUCCAGGGGAGAUGCAUUUUAGGGCAGCAAAUAUGUCCUAAUACAUGUUAGGGGAACACUGAUUUUAGAGUAUGGUUUGAAGCUACUGCAGAUGCAGAAUUGACAGCCUACACAGAUGGUGAUUGGCUCGUUCAUUUGAUGAUAUGUAGAGCACAACAUGUUAUGAGUUCAAUUUCGGUUCAGGUGCAUUUUAUUGGAUGACCAACAAGCAAAAACAAUGGCACAAACCACUGCAGAAGCAGAGUACAUAGCUGCAGCAGCUACAGUGUGAAGCAACGACAAUUGAAAUUGAUAACAACUCAGCCAUUGCAAUUGUGAAAAAUCAUGCAAGUCAUGUCAAAACCAAGCAUAUCUAAGUGAAGUUCCAUUUAGUUCAUGAUGUAUAAAAAGCUAAUGAGGCGACCUUAAUCUACUGUGAAGCAGAAAAUCAACUUGAAGAUAUAUUCGUUAAAACUCUUUCUCAAGCCAGAUUUGAAUUUGUCAGGAACAAGCUUGGAUUAUCAAGAAGUCGUCUCAAGGAGGAAUGUCAUACCAAUUUUGAUACUUUUUCUACAUACUUAGUGCAUGUUCUGUAGCAAUCUACUGAUAUUUUGUAAAAAGUAUUGCUGAAGUAAACCUGCUGAAAAUCAUGUGAGGGCAGGUCCCAGUAGUCAAGGGGUGGUGUUGUGAUCCUUGGAUGGCAUUAGGUGGAGUUUUUCUUGAAAGAAAGUUAUAGUAAUCAAAUACUUCUGCGCAUAUAUAAAUGAUAAUGUCAGAUGUGGUAGUACGAAAAAACAAACCGGUUUACAAAAUCAGCAAAGCACUAUCAGUCUUGCUAUCUAUAAUUUCUCUGCUGCAAACAUUCUUGUUGGUCACAAAACCAGCAGUUAUGAAAUUGGAGAGAACCUGAACCUGAUGUUGGCUUAAACUGGAGAAAGAUUCAUUAAGAUAAAACUUUAAAGGCUCCAUUGUAAGCGCAAUGUGCAGGUUAUUUCACAUACAGAUUGGCAAAACUUCAAGUAAAUUAGCUGUACCAUGCAGAUCCAACUUCGAGCACUCAUUUUGUAACUCAAAAUCCUUGAGAUUGCUGAGAGAACUUCCAAAAAUAAACACCACUCAAUGCAAGCAUCUGCGUAUAAUAACAAACUUUCAUGAAAAGCUGUCAUCAAGAACAAUAUAAGUAUUAUCCUACAUUUGCACAAGCAACCAUCUGCAUAUAAUAAGACAAUAGCUCACUAGUUAUACAAAAUUCACAAUGAAAUAUCUGUUUUCACCGUUGUCCUACAAAAUGAAUGAAUUAAUGUGUAGCACUAGCUUAUCUCUAGCUUCAAAACAUCAAUACUUCAAGAAGAAGGAACGAAAAGAAAAGGAUUAUCUUAAUCCUGCAGGGCAGAGCAGUAAGGUGCUUCGCAUGAGCAAGUAACCCAAAACACUAAUCUCCAAUGCUUAAUAUGCUCUUUUCUGUCCAAUAAUGAAUACUUGUUUCAAUCAAACCUGAUAAAUCCUUGAAAUACUACCUACCUAGUACCUACCUUCAAUUGAAUCAUCUCCAACAGCCCACGAUUUGGACAAGUAACCUCAACCUCAAGUGAUGCAUUCUUUUUAGUGAAGGAACUAAGCUUUAGCUCCUGAAACUUUACAGAACAGAACUUUACAUUCUUCAUUCCUUACAACCUUCAACAGAUAAUCUUUUCAAAUAUACAAACACAGAAAUCAAAUCACCCACAAAUUUGAAGAAAACAUCAUUCAAGAAACACUGACCUCAGGGACCUAAGCCCCAAAGAGGCAAUUGGUUUAUCUAACCAAAAGCUAGGAAAUAAGUAGACGACACCAGGGUUACAGUGAGGAAAAAAAAUGAAAUUUGACAGAUCAAGUAUAUAUAUUGCAACUUGAACAAGAAAUUAAAUGAAACCUCAAAAUUCCAUCUUAACCACAAGCUCAAAUCAUACAAACUGGAUUCAAAGUAAAAUCUGAAUUAUUCAAAUUUCAACAGGAAUCCAAAGUCAACAAAAUCAUGAAACAAAACCGGAACCAAGCCCAACAUAUCUCCUCUCAAGUUUCAAAACCCUUCUACAUGACAAGCAAACAUUGCAGCAGCAACUAUAACGAGUGAUCCAACAACCACAUUAUUAUGCAUAAACGUAACUGCGCUAGAUAUAUCCACAGGAGCAACAGGACUCUCUACAUUAGCAGCAGGAACCGCCUUAGUAGGUUUUUCUCGUGCAGGUGCCUGUACUGGUGCUGGAGCUGGAGCAUUGGAUCCAAAAAUGUCCUUAGGAAGUAGCACCUUCUCGAUCUUAUAAAUGGCUAGCUGGUUGUCCGUGUAAACCGUGCCAGAUAAACUUGUAUUGGUAAGUCCUGUGGUUAUGUUCACCGAGUUUGGAUAACUUGUGACAUUAAGUGGUAACCUACUACCUGUUCCAGCCCAUGUUCCAAGAGGAUUACUUACAGUCUGAAACUGGGAAGUGGAUAGGAACGUUGGAACUACGUGGAACUUCACCAACUCAGACUUGUCGCCAUCACUUAGAGUAUUGAGAGUUCCUGAUUUGAGUUCCGAAAAUGCACUAUCUGUGGGUGCAAAGAUGGUUAAACCAGUGUUGGAAUCAUUGAGCGCGGAGAACAAGUGGUUUUCCUCUUGGGUGGAUCUCAAAAGGCGGAUAAAGAUCGUGAAGUGGCCAGCCUUCUCAAGUAUUUUGGUGACGUUGGUGAUGCCGUGUGGUGCAGCAGCCUGUGUUGGGGUUGCGACUGGAGGUUGUGCUACGACUACUGCUGGUGCCUGUGCUGGGGCUGCUGUUGGUGACUGGGCAAAGGUAUUGAUAUAACAAAGGGAAAGAAGGAGCAUUGAAAAUGAGAAGAUUGAGUGCUGUUGCUUCAUCCUUAUUUUUUUGGGAUAAAAUGCUCGAAACAAUUCAAAUAUACUAAUGCAAAUUGAUCUCAAUCAUAAAGUGUUUGAUGUGUAAAGAUGAGAUAGAGUGAGGUUUUUAUAGUAGUGGACAGAGGAUCAAGUUAGGUGCAAUAUACAAUUUUAGUUAUACAACUAGAUUGCUAGUACCUUAUCUCACUCCAAAAGCUGUAGGGUCAUCAAUGGAGAGGGAAAUUUAACAAUGCUGCAGCAACUACUUUCCUUGGAAAAGCAGGCAAAAAAAAAAGGUUCUAAAAGGUAGAUUUCAAGUGGCUGUGACAACAAAUAAAGAUGUCCAUGAUUGUGAAUCAUCACUAGCAGAACAGCUGAGCAUGCUUCUUAACAUCAAAACAAAUCAUCUAUAAUGACAGAAGAUUUAGACAAGCGAUCUAAACUGACCUUUGUAUCGUAAAUAGCCAAGUCUUUGCUCUUUUAGCUUAAAAGAACGAAUAUUUACAUCCUUAAUCCUUGACAGACAUUGAUAGAUCACUAAUUUUCUAGAUUCGCACGCUCAGAAAUCAAAUCUCACACCAGACCAUCACUUAACACAACUUCAUGAAGAAACACUUACCUUAUGUACAUGAGCCCGUAGAGGUCAUGCUAUUGAUAAAAGUGAUUUUGCAGUAUGCAAACGCAAGUCUUGAAACUUUAAGAUAGCCAUUUCGAAGUAAAAGGAAUUGUGUUCUUUUACAUGAUGUUGAAUGGCAUAAUAGUCUUUUAUUCAUGGAGAGGAUGAAAGAAAAGGCAAGGAGCAGAAAAUGUCUCAGUUGGUUACUGUCAUCCCCAGUGUUUUAUUUAUAGAAGGAAACAAACAUUACAGAAAAUGAAACACUAAAGAAACGUACUAGCUAUGUUCUCCUUUAUCAAAGGAGUUAUAUAACAAGCUAGUCUAAUCCUAGAUAAGCUUAAACAAAUGAAUUGAAAGAAACAUCCUAAUCUAGAUAAUGCUAUCAGCUAACAGAUAAAUAGCUAUCAGCUAACAAAUAGAUAACAAUGCAGUAGAUUACUACAAAGUAAUCCUGUUCCAGCUUUGGUACCAAACUUCAACACUCCUCCUUGGUUCCAAAGCUACACAUUCCAAUUCUUCCUCUCAGAUCUUCAAACAUGUUUCCUGUUUCUAGUUCAACUGCUGCUUUGAAUUUAACAAACUCAGCAAACACAUAAGAUUUUGAUUUGAGGCAAGGGAUUCUGUACUAGAGCUCAAGCCUUUUAUUCAUGUUAAACGUACUAGGAUGAAUGGAUCAUGCUUCCACCAAAACCAUGAUUUUCCUCCAUAAUGCAGCAAAUCAUAGAAGGGUUUUUCUGGCAGUCGUCUGUCACAUUCAGUUUAUGAAAAUUGUGAUAUAACCUCGACAAUUUUACUGAUUGGAAUCCACUUCCUCAAGCUUAAAGUAACAAUCCUAUGCUCUCUAACACUCUCUUUUCUCUAAUUAUCAACACCAGCAGUUUUGAAACAGGAGAAAAGAACUUAACCUGAUGUGGGAUUGCUUAAACUAGAGAAAAAUUCAUUCUGAGGAAACUUAAAAGGUUCCUGUGUGAGAGCAAUACAGCAGAUUUGUUCACAUUAAGUUUAGUAGAAGUUCAAGAGAUAACCUAGUAAAGGUAGUUCUGUUUCAGAAGCCUGAUUUCUUGAUAAUUAGCAUUUUCUACUCUUUUGCAUUAUGUUCAGCCUCGCAUUCAAAUGUUGUCAGCAGAACCAUAUAUAAUCUUACAGAUUAAAGAGAACAACAUUUUGAUUCCAACCACUUCAAAAACUUGUAAUGAAAUAUUUGCUUUCACCAUUGUCCUGCAACCUCCUUUUCCUUUCUCUCUACCCUCCUUAAUGCAUGCUUUGUCUUCCCUGAUCGUCAAAUAAUCAUCUCAAUCCAAUAACUUAAGUUAUUAGAUGAGAUUCCAAGAUAUGAUUUAUAUCAUUCUCUAACACACACCCCUCAAGUAAAAGUCAAUUAAGCUUGAAACUUGCACAUGCCCACACUAUCUUGUGCUUAAUUUUUAUCAAAUAAAUAGGGAUGGUGAGAUUCAAACUCAUGACUGUUUGGUCAUUAAAGUUCUGAUACCAUGUCAAAGAAUCAUCUCAUCUCAAUAGCUUAAGAUGUUAGGUAAGGUUCUAAGAUAUGAUUUAUAUUAUUCUCUAACACACCUCUUCAAGUGAAAGCCCUUUAGGCUUAAAACUUGUACAGGUCCGCACUACCUUGUACUUAAUUUUUAUCAAAUAAAUAGGGAUGGUGAGAUUUCAAGAUAUAAUUUAUAUAUUAUUCUCUAACAUAUCACUUCAAGUGAAAGGCCUUUGAACUUGAAACUUGCAUAGAUCCAUACUACCUUGUGCUUAAUUUUUAUCAAAUAAAUAGGGAUGGUGGGAUUCGAACUCAUGAUCGUUUGGUCAUCAAGACUCUGAUAUCAUGUCAAAGAACCAACUCAACUUAAUAACUUAAAUUGUUAAGUGAGGUUCUAAAAUUUUGAUUUAUAUUAUUCUCUAAUAAUAUCGUGAUAGUUUGCCCCGUGCUCACCCUUAUUAGCCGACAUCCCCAUAUCUCUGCAUCAGAAAAAUCUUCUUUCUGAGGGAAGUAAUCCGAUAAACCUUCCUCCAGAUCCAGUAAGUUAAUGUUCAAUAAAAAAACAUAGCAACAACUAGCAAGCAAAAACUACAACCUCUUAAUAUGACAUCUCAGCCGAAAAAUCUCCGAAACCUCCAAAAAUCUCACUCCAUUUACUCCUCCGAUAACUAGACUUCCAAGAAAUAGAACCACCAACACAACCACUAUUAUCUAAGAAACAGUUAGGGCAUGAUUCGAUGACACCAGGGUGAUCAUAAAAAAACAACAAAUGAAGUUUGACUAAUCAAGUACAUGUUUAGCAAUUUGAUCAAGAAAUUAAAUAAAACCUCGAAACCAUAACCUAAAAUCAUACAAACUGGAUUCAAAGUAAAAUCAGAAUUAUUCAACACACACCAAGCUUUCAAUCCAACUCAGAAAAUUUAGACGCUGCCGGACCCAACCCAGCUUAUCUCAUCUCGAGAUUCAAACCCUUUUACAUUAUAAAGCAAAGAUUGCAGCAGCAACUGCACCAACUGAUCCAACCACGUUAUUACGCGUGAACAUGACUGCGCCAGAUAUAUCCACUGGAGCAACAGGACUCUCAACAUUAGCUGCAGGAACUGCCUUAGUAGGCUUUUCUGGUGCGGGUGCUACUGGUGCUGGAGCUGGGGCCUUAGAAGCAAAAAUGUCCUUAGGAAGUAGCACCUUCUCAAUCUUAUAAAUGGCUAGCUGGUUGUCCGUGUAUACCGUGCCAGAUAAACUUGUAUUGGUAAGUCCUGUGGUUAUGUUCACCGAGUUUGGAUAACUUGUUACGUUAAGUGGUAACCUACUACCUGUUCCAGCCCAUGUUCCAAGAGGAUUACUUACAGUCUGAAACUGGGAAGUGGAUAGGAAUGUUGGAACUACGUGGAACUUCACCAACUCAGACUUGUCACCAUCACUUAGAGUAUUGAGAGUUCCUGAUUUGAGUUCCGAAAAUGCACUAUCUGUGGGUGCAAAGAUGGUUACACCAGAGCUUGAAUCAUUAAGCGCGGAGAACAAGUGGUUUUCCUCUUGGGUGGAUCUCAAAAGGCGGAUAAAGAUCGUGAAGUGGCCAGCCUUCUCAAGGAUUUUGGUGACGUUGGUGAUGCCGUGUGGAGCAGCUGCCUGUGUUGGAGUUGCGGCUGGGGGUUGUGCUACGACUACUGCUGGUGCCUGCGCUGGGGCUGCUGCUGGUGACUGGGCAAAGGUAUUGGUAUAGUGGAGGAAAAGAAGGAAAACUGAAAUGGAGGAGAUUGAGUACUGUUGCUUCAUCUUUAAGUUUCCAGGCUAUUCUACUAGAAACUAUAAAAAAAAUGCUUAUGUAAAUUGAGCUCGAUCUUAUUUAGAAGUGUUUGAUGUCUAAAGAAGAGACAGAGUGAGGUUUUAUAGUAGUAGGCAGAGGAUCAAGUAAGGUGCCAUGUACAAUUUCAGAUAUACUAUCUAGUACCUUAUCUUGCUCCAUAAGGUGGAAGGUCACCAAUGGAGAAGGAAAUUUAACAUUGCUGCUCCAACUACUUUCUGAAUUAUCACUGGCAGAACAUUUGAGCAUAAAUGUGAACAUCAAAACAAAUCAUCUGUAAUGACAGAAGAUUUGGACAAGCAAUCUCUACUGACCCAUCUCUAUAUCUAAAACUGCUAAGAAUUGUGUCUUUAAGACAUGUCCUGAUGUUUUGAAAUAAAUGAGUAGGAAAAUGCAACAAAGUCCUUGGAGGCUUAAAAAUGGAUAUAAAUGAACGAGGGAGGGGUAUUGUAAUAAUUGAAUAAACAUAAUAAGUAUAAAUAGAAAAAAAAAAAAAAAAAAGAGAUCUGAAAAUUUUGAGAGAUAACCGGCAGGAGUGAAGGGAGAAAAAAGAAGAAGAAGAAGAAAAAAGAGGGAAAGAUAAGGGAAAUAGAAGAGAAUUAGAGAAAAUAAGCUUAAAGUUAAGAUUAUGUAUAAAUGUGUGUUCUUUAAGCUUUAAAUUUCUGUUUUGUUGAAUGUUAAGGUUUUAAAGAUUGUGUUUUGGUUGAUUGAUGAAUUGAUUUGAAUGUUAUGGGUUGAUUGUUAUGGGUAAUGAAUUGUUUAGUUGAUUUUGAAAGAUUUUAGGUAAAGAUGAUGAUUUUGAAUUAUGAUUUUGUUUAAAUGGUGAAUUUGAGUUAGAAAUCUUGAUAUAACAGUAGGUAAUCUGUGAAAUUCUGGGUUUGAGGUUGAAGAUGACAAAAUUUAGUUUGGUCCCUCAAUUUGUGAAAAUUACAAGUUAGUCCCUAAACUUUGUAAAAAAACACAGAUUGGUCCCUGGAGCAUAUUCCGAGAUUCUGGACAGAAUAAAAGAUGAAUUAUGGGCAGAAUUCCAGUAUAAUUAUGAAUUUUUAACACUUUCAAUUUGGUCCUUCCAUUUGACAAAAAUUACAAUUUGACCCUAAAAAUUUGGAAAAAUUCCAGAAUGGUCCCUGGAGCAUAAUUAGAGAUUCUGGACAGAACUGAUGAUAAAUUAUGGACAUAAUACCACUAUAGUCAUGAAUUUAUGAUAUUUUUAGUUCGGUCCUCCAAUUUGACAAAGUUACAAUUUGACCCUUAAAAAUAUAAUAAAUUCCAAAUUGGUCCCUAGCUGUAAUAUUAGCUUUUGCAAAUUGGUUUGAUGAAUAAUUGAGGAUUAUUUAGUGAAUUAUUAUCAAGUCUUGUUAUUUGUUUUAUUAUGAAUUAGAUUUCGGGAAUACUAUUUAAUUUUGGGUUUUUGGAAAAAUGACUAGUUUAGUUUAAAAACAUAUAGGGUUAUGGAAUAGACCCUUAUUUAAGUGUAUUAAAUAGGUUGAACGUUCUUUUCGAGUCGUUUUUUAAUAUGUCUCCUUUGUAUUCAGAUAAUCUUGAUAUUCUAUCGACAAGACAUUAGUAGGAUUUUCUUCGGUAUCUGCUUUCGAGUUAUGUUUGCUUUCGAGUCAGAUGAGUGGAUAAUUUUCCAUAUGCAUGAGAAAUAUUAUAAAUAUUUGAUUUGUUAAUAUGAAUUGGAUCAUGCUUCUUGAUAAUAUAUAUGUUGAUUAUUAUCUUUGUUACGAUAAAGCAUGAUCAAUUGUUGAAUCUGAAUUCUUGAUAUGAACUAAUAUAUAUUUUGAAUUGACUUUUGAGUUGAUAGCUCCUCAUUUGAUUAAUGUCAUGAGUUGAGCCUUGAGAUAUGAAUAUGUCUGUUUGAUUAUGAUUAUGAACUUACGGUAUGUCAGUCAGAAUACUCAUGCUAACAGGGUAGUAUUAGUCUUUGUGCACAUCGUAUCUGAACCCUAGUUGGUCGGGGGAGUCACAACCUAUGUGGACUGAUCAUCCCACAAUAUUACGGAGCCUCAUGCUCAUUGCAUUUUGAUUUUGUGACGAGCUUUACCUUAUGAUAUUUUUGUUAUUAUCUAUUUGAGAAACCUUUCUAUAAGAACCUAGAGUCAUAAUUGUAUAUAUAUUUCUCAUUGUUGUAUUACCUCUUGUGUGUAUAUUGAACGUUAUCUACUCACUGAGUUGUUGAACUCACCCUCUCAUUAUUUAUCUUUUCAGGCUUAUAGCUUGUUAGCGGGUCAUUUUGUUGGACCUUCAGGACCUGCUUUUUUGUUGAAAUUUGUAUUUUUUCCUUAUGUCUAGUUAGUGCUCCACAACUAUGAAUUUAUAUUAACUCUUGUAUUAAAAUAAUCAAAUUAUAUAAUGAAGUUAAUUUUGUUAUUAAUGUUGCGUUGAACUCACAUUGAGGUAUUUGAAGGUUAAGUUUGUAUGUAAGUCUGGGUUCGUAUAGGUAUAUGGAACCUUGAAGAGGAACUUUACUUGUGUGCCGGUCAUGGAUCUGGGAAUCGGGUCAUGACAUGUCCAACCUAAAACUCUGCCAAAAAAACAUCUUUUAGCUCAAAUGCUUAAGAUUUAAAGAAGAAAAAAUAAAAAUGUUGAAAUUCAAACUUGUUUGGUCAUUAAGUCUCGUGGUAUAAAAUAAGAAUUUCAACUCAAAAGCUGAAAUUAUUAGGUGAAGCAUCAAUAUAUAAUUUUUGUUAAUAGGUAUCACAUUCAAAUGCAGUUAACAGAACUGUAAAGUUACGGAUUGAAGAUAACUACAUUUUGAUUUGAACUAUGCUUGUAAGAGUUCGAAAAUCACAACGAAAAUAUAUGUUUUCACCAUUGUCCCACAACAUGUAUGAAUUAAUUUGUAUACUUUAAUCUCCUGUGAAAAAUUGAAUAAACAGCUGUUAGUUCACACUAACUUAAUACUGACUGGAAACGUUAAGACUGUAACAACAACAAAGGAUUAACGUAUUCCUGCAACAUGGUACAGUAAGAUGCUUUGGCAUGAAAUAUUUGCUUCAAUGAAACUGUAAUGUUUUGAAUUAAUGAAUUGGAAAAUACAACAAAGCCCUUUGUGGCUUAAAGUGUGGGUAUAAAUGAAUGAGGGGUAGUGUGGUAAUUAGAUAAACAUAAUAAAUAUAAAUAGAAGAAAAAAAACAAAAGAAGGAUCUGAAAAUUUAAGAGAGAAUCGGCAGAAGAGAAGGGAGAAAGAAGAAGAAGAAGAGAAAAGAGGGAAUUAAAAGGGAAAUAGAAAGGAGUUGAAGAGAAUAAGUUUAAAGGUAAGAUUUAGGUUGUUAAAUGUAUAAAUGUAUGUUAAUUGAACUUAAUUUCAGUUUUGAUAAAUGUUAGGGUUUUGAAAAUUUGUGUUUUGGGUUUAAUUGAUGAAUUAAAUUGAAUGUUAUAAGGUUGAUUGUUAUGGGUAAUUGAUUAAUGAGUUGAUUAUGGAAGAUUGUGAUGAUUUUGAGUUAUGAAUUGUGUAAAUGGUGAAUGUUGAGUUAGAAAUUUGGCAAGAACAGUAGGUAAUCUGUGAGAAUUCUGGGUUUGAGGUUGAAGAUGACAAAAUUUCGGUUUGGUCCUUUAAUUUUGAAAAAUUACAGAUUAGUCCCUAGCUGUAAUAUUAGCUUUUGCAGAUUGAUUUGAUGACUAAUUAAGGGUUAUUUAGUAAAUCAUUAUCAAUUUUAUUAGUUGUUUUAUUAUGGAUUAGAUUUCGGGAAAACCGUUAAAUUUUGGGUUUUUGAGAAAAUUGACUAGUUAGUUCAAAAACAUAUAGGGUUAUGAAAUACACCCUUAGAUAAGUGUAUUAAAUAGGUUAUAUAUUCUUUUGAGUCAUUCUUGAAUAUGUCUCCUUUGUAUUCAGAUAAUCCUGAUAUUCUACCAGCGGGACGUCAGUAGGAUUUUCUUCGGUGUCUGCUUUUGACUUCUGUUUGCUUUUGAGUCAGGUGAGUGGAUAAUUUUCCAUAUGCAUGAGAAAUAUUAUAAAUAUUUGAUUUGUUAAUAUGAAUUGGAUUAUGCUUCUUGAUAAUAUAUAUGUUGAUUAUUAACCUUGUUUUGAUAAAGCAUGAUCAAUUGUUGAAUCUGAAUUCUUGAUAUGAACCAGUAUAUAUUUUGAAUUGAAUUCUGAAUUGAUAGCUCCUCAUUUGAUUGGUGUCAUGAGUUGAGCCUUGAGAUAUGAAUAUGUCUGUUUGAUUAUGAUUAUGAAUAUAUGGUAUGCCAGUCAGAAUACCCAUGCUAACAGGGUAGUGUUAGUCUUUGUGCACAUCGUAUCUGAACCUUAGUUGGUCGGGGGAGUCACCAACCUGUGUGAACUGAUCAUACCACAGUACGGAGCCUCAUGCUCAUUGCAUUUUGAUUUUCUGACAAGUUUUACCAUAUGACAUUCUUGUUAUGGCCAAUUUGAGAAACCUUUCUGUAAGAACCUAGAGCCAUACUUGUAUAUAUAUUUCUCAUUGUUGUAUUACCUCGUGUGUGUAUUGAACGUUAUCUACUCACUGAGUUGUUGAACUCACCAUCUCAUUAAUUAUCCUUUUCAGGCUUAUAGUUUGAUAGCAGGUCACUUUUGUUGAAACUUCCGAACCUGCUUUUUGGUUGUAAUUUGUACCUUUCUUUUAUGUCAAGUUAGUGCUCCAAAACUAUGAAUUAUAUUAACUCUUGUAUUAAGACAAUUCAAUUAUAUUAUGAAGUUGAUUUUGUUAUUAAUGUUGCGUUGAACUCUGAUUAAGUUAGGAUAAGUUUGUGUGUAAGUUUAGGUUCGCAUAGGUAUGGAACCUUGGAGGGGAACCUUGCCUAUGUGCCGGUCAUGGAUCCGGGAUUCGGGUCGUGACAGAAACCAUACAACCUCCCCACCUUAAAUUGAAUAGUCUCUGGUGAUCCAAGAUUUGGACAAGGAAUAUCAGGCAAUUCAUCCUUGUUAGUGAAGGAACUAAGUUUUAGCUCUUUCAGAUUUCAAUAGCAAUUUUUUACGUUCUUCAUUUACCUCCAACCUUCAAGAGAUACGCUCUCCGAACUCACACACCCAGAAAACAAGUCACCCACAAAGUCAUCUGCUAAAAAGCAAUUUCCAAGAAACGUUGUCACUGACCUCAGGAAGUCAAGCCCCAUGAAGGCAAUACUCAUUAUUUUGUACUGAAAAUAAUAUUUAAGCCUCAAAAUCUUAACACAUCCAUUUCUUAGCAUAAAGGAAGAGAAAAGUCUCCGAGGGAGAAAUUGAAGUAAAUUUCAUGUACAUUGCCCUUAAUGGCAUAAUCAAUCCACUGGGGAUACCAGAGCGAAGACAGAAUUUGAAACGGGAAGAGGAAGGAGGGUAUUAUCAACAAAUUCGAUGCAAACGGGGAGGGAAGUGCGGUGGGAGUUGUGAGAGUCAUCAUCAUACUAUUAAUAAAGACUAGUAAACAGGAAUUUGGAUGCACUAGCUAUAAGCUAGUCAGAAAAGAUCAAGCAUGAUCAUUCGCAUGAAAUGCUGGGGGAGGGAAGAACUUCCGAUUGAAUAAAACUCAAUAAGUUCAUGAAUCAUACUUCUUCGGAUCGAAAUGGGGGGGGAAGAACUUCCGAUUGAAUAAAACUCAAUAAGUUCAUGAAUCAUACUUCUUCGGAUCGAAAUAAAUCAUCUCUGGCAUUUCUCUGCUGCUUCCUUCUUACUGUUUUUCUCCCUGGUCAGUGGUGACAAUCUACUUCAAUCUCUUUCGGCCUCCAUUAUCUCAUAACUCACCUUCCUUCAUUCCUCCACCAAUCUUGCAAUCACUUUUCCUUCGCUUCAUAUUUCCUGCAAGCUUUCUCUCCUCUGCUAUCAUGAUACGUUGCCCCAUAUUCACCCCACUUAGCCAACACCCCCCUAAGAUCGGAUCAGAAGAACCAUCCCCAGAGGAAAUAACCCUAAGAACCUUCGGCAAGUUAAUAUCCGCGAAAAAAGAUGUCAACAGCUUGCAAGCUUUUGCAACCCCCUGAAUAGGACUUCUCAGCUUGACAACCCUCGUCUCCUCCAAAAAUUCCACUUACUACUCAUCCUCCAGUAAGUAUUCAUCCUCCAGUAAGUAUACUUCCCCAGAAAUUGAUUCACCAAUCCAACCACCAUUAUCUACCCGAAAACUAGGAAAUGAUUAGAUGACACCCGGAUUAUAGUAAAAAAAAAAAAUUGAAAUUUGACUAAUCAAGUACCAAGAAAUUAAAUAAAAUCUCAAAACUCAAUUUUAAUCGUAAACUCAAAGCAUACAAACUGGAUUCAAGGUCAGAUCGAAAUUACUCAACAGAUUCAAUACAGCUCAGAAAAAUAUAACAUCAAAACCAGACCAAACCCCACCAAAUUUCAUCUCAAGAUUCAAACCUUUAUACAUUACAGAGCAAACAUUGCAGCAGCAACUAUGCCAACUGAUCCCACCACAUUAUUAUGUGCGAACAUAAGUGCACUAGAUAUAUCCACAGGAGCCACGGGACUCUCUACGGUUGCUGCAGGAACUGCCUUUGUAGGCUUUGCUGGUGCAGGUGCUACCGGUGCUGGAGCUGGAGCCUUUGAAGCAAAAAUGUCCUUAGGAAGUAGCACCUUCUCAAUCUUAUAAAUGGCUAGCUGGUUGUCCGUGUAUACUGUGCCAGAUAAACUUGUAUUGGUAAGUCCUGUGGUUAUGUUCACUGAGUUUGGAUAACUUGUGACAUUAAGUGGUAACCUACUACCUGUUCCAGCCCAUGUUCCGAGAGGGUUACUUACGGUCUGGAACUGGGAGGUCGAUAAGAAAGUAGGAACUACAUGAAACUUCACUAACUCAGACUUGUCUCCAUCACUUAGAGUGUUGAGAGUUCCUGAUUUGAGUUCCGAGAAUGCGCUAUCAGUUGGUGCAAAGAUGGUUACACCAGAGCUUGAAUCAUUAAGCGCGGAGAAUAAGUGGUUUUCCUCUUGGGUGGAUCUCAAAAGGCGGAUAAAGAUCGUGAAAUGUCCAGCCUUCUCAAGGAUUUUGGUGACGUUUGUGAUGCCGUGUGGCUGAGCUGCCUGUGUUGGGGUUGCAGCUGGAGGUUGUGCUACAACUGCUGCUGGUGCCUGUGCUGGGGUUGCAGCUGGUGACUGAGCAAAGGUAUUAGCACAAUGGAGUAAAAGAAGAAAAAAUGAAAAAGAGGAGAGUGAGUGCUGUUGCUUCAUCUUUACAGUCCCUGAUAUAAAGCUUGAAACAAUACCAAAACACCAAAGCAAAUUAAGCUCUAUUGAUCGAUCGUUGAAGUGUUUGAUGUGUAAAGAAGGGAUAGAGUGAGGUUUUUAUAGUGGUGGGCAGAGGAUCAAGUUAGGUUUAGUGUACACUUCUAGCUACAAACUAGGUUAUUAUCCAGCACCUCAUCUUACUUCAAAAGGUGGAGGGUGUCAAUGGAGAGGGAAUUUAACAAUGCUGCAGCAACUAGUUUGCUUGGAAAAGCAGGAAAAGAUUUCAGUGGUGUGACAGCAAAUAAGGAUGUCUAUGAUUGUCAAAAUUAUAGCUGUCAGCAUCCACAGGAAGAAUAGUUUUAUGAUUGCUAGAGCCUUCAGAGACAUGGUAGCUUAAGAUAGUGAGCAACAUUCACUUGCAUUUCAGAAAAUAACUCUCAAUGAAGAGAUCUUAACGUCCUGCAAUCCAUGACACGCAUCGAUGGACAGAUUUUUCGAGAUUUACACACGCACAAAUCAAAUCAUACGCCACACCAUUACUUAACACAAGAAACAAUAACCUUAAUUGCUCAAGCCCCUUCGAAACCAUAGUCACAAGAUUUUGUUAUAUACAAGCCUCAAAUCUUUAACACACCCGUUUCUGAGAAAAAAGAAGGGGAAUCUUUGAGUUUUUGCAUCGACAGACCAAUAUGAGGAAAGCAUGAGCUCGAGGUCUUUCACAUGGUGGUCAAUACCAUUAUGCAUUAAUCAUGAUAGUCUUAGAAGUCUAGUUGGAAGUAAACUUGUGGAGAGGAGGAGGGGAAAGAGGGGGCUGGCAGAGGCAGGUUUUGUUGAAAAAAUCAGAGGGAGGGUAAGGGAAGUGGAGGCAACGGAGCUUUGUAUCAGAUUUAAAGCCAUUUGUGGAAAGUUCAGAAGGUUUGGAUUGCAGUUUUGGUAGGAAGAAAAGAGGAUGUGGACUGUAGAGUAUCUCUUCUGAUGAAGUUGUUUAGGCUUUGAGUGGUGGUGGUUGUGGUUCUUGGCUCUGCUGCCAUCUUCUUGAACUUACUUGAUUACGCUUGCAAAGAACAAAUCCAGAAGCAAAUCAUAGAAGGGUCGGUUUUGGCAGACAUUAGUCACAUCCUGUUUACCAAGAAACUCAUUUUUUGACAUUUUUACUGAUAGGAAUCCACUUUUUCCAGCUUCAAGUGCAUCUGAAUGCUCUCUCGCACUCUUUUUUUAGGCCAUUACCAACGCCAAAAGUUCCGAAACUAGAAGAACACAACACCCUGAACCUGAGCAACAAUACUCAUGGUUUAAAAGUUCACCGAGGUUGCUUAGAUAAACAAGUACAAGAAACCUUCUACUUGUCCUUCAAUUGGCGCUUGCAUCGAUGCACUGACACUCAGUAAUAAUACUUUCAAGAACCUAAAAAAAGUGAGCCAUAAUUUUAGCCUCAUAGAUUCAUCAAUGUUCCUCUUCAACCCCAUGGUUUAACAUUUCAACAAUGUUACCGCUAUAGUUUUUCAAAUGUUUCAAUUUUACCCUUAUUAUUUUAUAUCUUCUCAUUUUUUUCCACUAAAAAAUCAUAAAUAUCAUAAUACUCGCAAAAUACUUGGAAACUUUAUAUAUACAUAUAUAAAAAGCCCAACUCAUAAACAUAAUCAAUUUUGGAAACCAUAGGGGUAACACUGAGAAGUUUAAACUAUUGGAGUAGGAGUGGAACAGUGAUGAAUCUAUAGGAAUAAAACUGAAGUUUAACCCAAAAAAAAGAGAGAGAGAAAGGACAAGGCAAUCUUUUUAUUUCAUUCAAGAGCACACCUUUUUAGCAUGUGUAUUGGUAAAAGUACGAUUGGGCUUUUGUCAUCUGCCUCAACAAACAUGUGACGAGAAGAAAAUGGCAACACAAAAAUACAAAAACAAAUACAAAAUUUCCACACAGGAGACAGCUUCCCGCACCUCCAAAUAACUUGGUGCCACUAAAUUCUGGUGAAAGGACUAGCAAAAUUUUCACCGACAGAUCGUCGAUGCAAGCAAUGAGUUAUGUUCAAGGAUUUCUUGCUCAAUAUCUUCUAUCGAUCAUCAAAAGCUAGUUUACGUCUCUUCUCAUGUUGCUUUGAAACUCUCUGACCAAGCUUUGUAAUAUUGUAUUUGCUGCUUACAAAGAAAAGAGGGUUAGACGAAUAUAAGCGAGGAUUUCUGCUCUCUGUUAUUAGACACCAGUAAGAGAGAGCUGUACCUUCUCUGACACGGAUGGUGAAAUUUUACCAAGGGCUUGCUCAAAAUGAGUGGCUGUGAUAUUAACUGCUGGCUCAUUUUGUGCGGCCGUGAUUGUACCUGAAGUCUCAUUCAAACAUCUUUGUCUCUUGGCCUCCUUCAAAGCAGUCAUUGCGGCUUCCUCCAUCUGGGAAAUAAUUCCAAUCCAAGUUAACAAGCGAAGGCUGGUCAAGUAAAGUCAGACCUCUUGAAAGUAUCACAAGAAUUAGAAUGUGUUCCAGCUCUAACAUAUGUCAAUAAAAAACCGAGACUAAUAGAAACAUAGACAAACCAGCUUCCUAAGAUCAGCCCCGCUAAAAUUUUUACAAGCCUCCAUUUGACCGAUGGCAGCCAAGUCGACACUAGGAUCAAUAGGUUUUCCUUUAGCGAGAGCCUUUAAGAUCAAUCCACGGUCCUCUGAACUUGGCAGAGGGACAUAAAGAAGUUUGCCAAACCUACCAGGCCGCAGGACAGCAGGGUCCAUCACCUCAGGUCUACCAUCAGAGACACCAGCUUCAGUGAGAGAAGUGGAGAGGAGAGGAGAGGAAAAUGAAAGAAGAGAGAGAUUAGUGUACCUGUUAGUGGCACCAAUGAUAAAAAUACCAGGGCGCUGAUCUGCACCAUCUAACUCUAUAAGCAACUGCAAUUAUAAGCAUUGCAUUCAAUUGACAUAUACUGGGAACAAGUUGAUGAUAUGGAUCACAUAGAGAAAAACAGAUGUUUUAAUUCAGUUUAUGUCAUUGCAUCUUAUUGACCUGAUUUAAGAGCCUCUCAACAACCCACCCCCCUUCUUUUCCACGCAUUGUUGUCAAAGCAUCCACCUGUAUAAAAACAAAAUAAAUUGUUGCAAAGGACAGAAAAUUUAUUGGACUUCAGAUAACAUAGAAGUGCACAAAGUAAAGAAAGCCUCAUCAGCCAGAAAAAACCAUUGAUUUACUAUACAGGUCAUUAGAUGGAAAUCUCACAAAGUGAAGUCAAAUAGAUCUAAGAGGAAAGAACAAUCCAAAUACAGAGUAUCGUACAAUUUCCAACAUACACAAAAAAAAUAUCAGAGUUCAUUAGAGUAGGGGAAGUGCCAAAUAUUUCAGUCAUCUAUCUUUCCAAUCUAGAUCUCCAUUAUGUCAAAUUAAAUAACUGGAUACCGAUAAAUACAAAGAAAGGAGAGCCACAAACCUCAUCGAAGAAGAUUAUGCAUGGCGAGCACGUUCUUGCACGACUGAAUAACGUCCUAACUGCCAGUUCGCUUUCUCCAACAUACUUAUUCAGAAGUUCAGGACCCUGAUAAAUUAUGGAAUUCACAAUCAUUAAUGUUUUGAGACAGAUUUAGAACAGAUUCAGUAAGAAAACUGUGGUAUCAAGGCACCAAAAAAGAAUAGAAUGGAAAAAAAAAAUUGAGUAAGAGAAUGAAUGGAAGGACUCACCUUCACAUGAAUGAAGUUAGCUCCUGCCUCGUUAGCAGCAGCCUUAGCGAUCAUUGUUUUGCCACAGCCAGGAGGUCCGUAGAGCAAAAUCCCUGUCUCUAAAUUCACUCCAAAUUUCUGAAUUUACAAAUAAUGCGCGUGAUUAGUAAGUGAAUCAACCAGAACAAUACAA